ACUGAAGACCUGAGGGCUGAUAUUGAAAACAUCACAGCAACACUUUUGCACAAGAAGCAAGAUCUGAUUGUCAGCAUGGCUGAAGAGGUCUGUCUUUGACCAGGUCAUGCUGGUCAGACGCUUGGAGGAGGAGCAGAUCAUCCCUGUGUGUCUCAACACAUCAAGUACCUUCUUAGGGACAUGCAAGAACUUGAGGAAGUCAAAGAACAGACUUUGGAGAGCAUCAAAACCAGCAAUUUCAUUGACCUGACAGAGGAUGCUUCACAUGGGCUCAUCAGUGUCCUCAAUCGCAGGCUGCACUUACUCAGAUGUCAACACAAAAAAGCAGUGCAUGCAUACAGCAGUGUAGCUGCUGUGGACUCUGAUUUACUCUCCAUACCAGAGGACAGUGAGGAGUGGUAUAACAAUGGCCUGAUCCAGAGGAAGACGAUGUGUAAGGCACAGAACACAAGGAAACACUCACUGCUACCU